UACGUAGGGGGCAAGCGUUGUCCGGAUUUAUUGGGCGUAAAGAGCGUGUAGGCGGCUAGGUAGGUCCGUUGUGAAAACUCGAGGCUCAACCUCGAGACGUCGGUUGAAACCGUCUGGCUAGAGUCCGGAAGAGGAGAGUGGAAUUCCCGGUGUAGCGGUGAAAUGCGCAGAUAUCGGGAAGAACACCCGUGGCGAAGGCGGCUCUCUGGGACGGUACUGACGCUGAGACGCGAAAGCGUGGGGAGCGAACAGG
rnacentral:rRNA from 1 species